rnacentral:rRNA from 1 species
CACGUAGGGGCGAGCGUUGUCCGGAUUUAUUGGGCGUAAAGAGCUCGUAGGCGGCUCGGUAAGUCAACUGUGAAAGCUCCGGGCUCAACUCGGAGAGGCCAGUUGAUACUGCUGUGGCUAGAGUCCGGUAGGGGAGCGGUGGAAUUCCUGGUGUAGCGGUGAAAUGCGCAGAUAUCAGGAAGAACACCCGUGGCGAAGGCGGCUCUCUGGGACGGUACCGACGCUGAGACGCGAAAGCGUGGGGAGCAAACAGG